AAAACAUGUAUCAGUUUGGAAGCUCGAAAAUAUAUCAGAGACAGCAGUGCUUUUCACACUGGAUUGGGCCCUACACAGAGCAAUUCACGUUUUUUAAAAACUCGACAAGGAUUUGAGGAGGAAAACACUAGACCUUCAGACCUUCCUUCGUAUGUGACAGUUCCGACGGGGAUGAAUUCCUUCCCUGUAGAAUUCAUGAGGAGGUUUCUUGUAUCUAAUCCAAAGAGCCACGCCCUCCAUAUGAAUAGCCAGCUUGUGAAAAUAUUAAGAAAGAAGAAAGGAAAAUAUCAAUUGAAGUUCAGAAAAACAGUUUCAAUCAAUGGAAGUAUUAUGCCUACCUAAAAAUUACUUUUUUGUUUAUUCUCGAAAUGUUAUACUUGCAAUACCAAAAGUUCCUAUCCUAAAAAUACAGAUGCCACAGUUUAGUAAUCCUCAAUUCCUGUCUGCACUGAAUUCAGUGGUAGACGUGCAAUCCUCAAAGAUAUUCCUGAUUUACAACCAUCCAUGGUGGCUAGGAGGAUCACAUAAUUUCACCUAUACCCAAUCCGAUCUUCCGUACAGACAGUCAUAUAACUGGGGUAUAUCACGGACUGGGAAGGCAGUUCUCCUCAUAUCAUAUGCAGAUACUGAUGCUGUACCAUUUUGGAGCCUACUUCAGAACAUGGGAAACAUAAUCAGUAAGAGAUAUGACGAUACAAGAGUCACGGACGAAGUAGUAAAACAGGCUCACUUACAGUUAUCCAGAGUGUACAACAGACAUGUCAAUAGUAUUCCUGCUCCAAUCGAUGGGAUGAUGUUUAUCUGGAACAAAUAUCCUUAUAAUGGCGGGUGGGUCGUGUGGAAGCCUGGACCAAGGUGGUACGAUAUCAAAAGAUAUCUCACUCGGCCGUUUCCUCGAGAAAAUAUUUACAUAAAUCACGGUUACUGGGGAGCUGAUCUUAACGGAUGGGGAUAGGGUUCCUUGGAGGGUGCAGAUGACGUUUUGUCUCAUUUCGAUGUACCAUCCUAUUUAAAAACUAAUUAACGUCAAAAAGUUUAUAUUUAAAGUUAAUUAAUAUUUUCUGCAUUACAUGUUUAGAAAAGAAGUUAGCUACUGGUAGCAACCUUUCUAAAUGUGGCACAUAGAUCAAAAGAUAUCGAAGAGACAAAACUAUUUUUGAAAAUCACUAUUCAAAGAUUGGAUUUACUACAAUAUUGUCUUUGAAAGUCCUGCAGAUAUUAAAAGUAAAAAUAUUUUCGUAAAACGUCUUAAAAUUCUCAUGAAUUUGAAUUAUUUAUUAAAUGAUUAUGGCUGUAUUGUAAGUUAACACUUGAUAAAUUAACCUUUGUUUGGGAUUAAGAUGAUUCAAUAUAAAGAGAACUUUCGCACCCUGUCAAUUGGUUUUCUAAGGCCAUUGUCACAAAUCAAUUGAGUUUCAUUUGUUUAGUAUUGCGGGAUGCAAUCGACUUGGAAAAUAAAUUUGUCUGAUACAAAGUUGUUAUACUUUUAUAAACAAAAAAAUAUCAAUAUCAAGUACAGUGGAGUCUCAUCUAUCCGCUUUUGUAUCCAAAUUCAAACGACCUGACAAGUAAAUCGUAUUAAUAUCUGACAUUUGUGUAUUGUCGUCAUAUAUAGAUAAAAUAUGAUCUUUAAUGAGUGUCAAUAAUGUUUUCUAUGUCUUUCAUACUUCAUAGCAACAAUAAAGAGUUGUCAGAUGAAAUU
rnacentral:misc_RNA from 1 species